rnacentral:lncRNA from 1 species
CCAUUACUACUUUAAAUAACUUAAUUAUGUCUUCAACAGGCGCAAGAUCAAGACUAAAUCCUCCUCUUCCAGAAGGGUAUUUUGGAAAUGCAAUUCAUGGCAAGCAAGUAAAGACAAGUGUAGGGGAGCUGCUAGAAAAUGGACUAGGAUGGGUUGCAAUGCAAAUAAACAAGAUGGUUGUUUCUCAAAACUCUGAAGAAGUGGUGAAAAUAUACAAAGGAUGGGUUGAAAAUCCAGUUAUAUUAAAAAAGGGGUCAGUAUAUGAGGGGAAUAAUAGAUUGCUCAUUAGUAGUUCUCCAAGGCAUAAUAUUUAUGGUAAUGAUUUUGGUUGGGGAAAUCCAAUUGGUGUGAGGAGUGGAAUGGCAAAUAAAAGUGAUGGGAAAAUUACUUUAUUUCCUGGUGAAAAAGAAGGAAGUGUAGAUAUUGAAGUUUGCAUUUUGCAAGAGACUUUGCAAGCAUUGGAGAAUGAUCAAGAAUUCAUGGAGUUUGUAACCAAGACUUAAAACUUCCUUACUAGGAUCAACUUUUUGUGUUGUAUUUGCUUAUUUACUUUUUGUUAAUAAGUAUUUUCUCCGUUUCAAUUUAUGUGAUGUAAUUUGACCCACGUUGCAAGGGUCAUUCUAUACCUUGCCGGGUAUAUGAUGCUACUGGAACUAUGGAUCUAUCUAAUAGGCCUUCUCAGUGGCAGUGAGGAAUCACACAAUAAACUGUUCAAGUUUAUACAAGUUUAAGUGACCACUUGUGCACAACCAAAGUUGGAGGACAUAAUUGUUAGUUGAAGCCAAGUUAAAAGUUAUGUUUAUAUAUUAUACCUAUAAUUAAUUAAGUACUAAUGAGACUUAUGGAAGACAUAAUUAAAUUAUUUAAAGUAUGUUUUCCUUUUAAUAGCUUAAACUUUUAAAUGUAAUGAUAACAUGAUUUAAUAUGGUAUCAAGACAGAAUAACAAUCUUGAAAUUGAAAUUAAUUGUCACGUAAAAAUAAUUUAUUCGUGUGCUCAAUCAAUGAAAGAGUCAGACCUACACAUGAGGGAGGUGUUAUAUACAUAAGGGAAAAGGUCCAUUUAUGCCGCUAAACUUUGAGUAUUGACCUAAGUAUGUCAUUCCUCAAUAUAGCUGGGGUAAAAGUUGAUGAUAGUUCGGGUAGUAAAAAAAUAACAAUUAUAUUAAGCAUAAAAAAAAUACAGUCCAAGUGCGUUUUUAACCAUCAUCUCAAAUUAGAAGUGUGCUCACUUAUGAGAAUGGUGAUGAGGACUUGUUCCCUAGCAUCAAGCUUACGACAACGAGUAACAGAUCGCCAUAGUAUUAAGAACCGUUUCAAUUAUAUCAUAUGAAUAUCUUAUACUCAUAGAAAUAUUUUUUUUAAAAAAGUAUAUACAAUUUUCUUCGUUAACUAAUUACACAAAAAUAUAUUUCAAUUAAAGAUAAAAUAGUUAAAGUUCCAACGUUCAAACAAUUAGUUUUGAUUGUCGGUGAAGAGAUAAGAAUAUCCAUAUUGAGCAUCAACAGGCCCUUUUCGAUCGAUCCUGCAUGUGAGUUGUGAUCAUUUUCUAGUAUAAUUUUUAUAUGUGAGGAAUCGGAAAAUAUUGGGAUGUAUUCAGAUUUUAUCUCUAUUUUUAAUGAGGAUGAAUUAUAUUUUUUGAUAAAUUCUGGUCUUUUCAAAACAUGAUUAGAAUGAAAUGCAAAAACAAAAAAAAACUAGGAUUAAAAUACAGAAAGUGUUUGGCCAUAAAAAUAAAAUAUUUUGUACUUUUUUGGAAUUUUUAAAGUUAGAGUUCUGUAUAGUCAUAUUUUUGCAAAAAAUAUUUAGAAUUUGAAUUAUUUUUUUUGAAUAUGAUUUAUACCCCCAAUUUCUAAAGCCUAGAAAAAUCAUCCAACUUGAUUAAUUUACUAGAAAACAUACAAUCAAAUCUGCUCUAAAAUAGUAAUAUCUCAAAAAUAGAUAGUCACAUAAUGUUAUUUAUUAGAUCCAUAUAAACUGUUCUUAUUAUUAUAAAUAUUUUUUCACUUUAUUUUAAAAUUUUGAAUUUAAUUGUGCUUGGUUAUAUUUUUCCCAAAUAAUAUUUGAUUGUUUGAAGGUACUUAAAUUUUAAAAAAAAUAUAAAAAUAUAAUUUAGAUAAGGUCAUUUUCUUAAAAAUAAAAAAAUUAGACUAAAAUUUGUAAAAUAAAAAAAAUUGUGAAAAUGAAAACAAAAUAAUGAGUUUUUAUUUUUAAAUUCAGUCCUCUCUGAGACUCUGACCAUAUGGGCCUGUUGAUAUAGACAUUUUUUUUUAUCUCUUUGUACCAACUACCACCUACACUUUAUUGUAGGGUCAUUUGCACUUCUAUUUCUCUCUUUUUUAAAAUUGUUUUCUUAUAGUAAUGAUUUUUUUACGAGUAAUAAAUUUAUAUUUUCAUAUAAUAAAUUUCACAAAUUAUACCUUUAUGUGACUUUGAUUUCUAAAAAUUUAUGUCUCACUUGAUAUUAAGCUUUAGUUCAAUCGUUAAAAUGUAAAAAUUAGAAUCCAACUAAUUUAAAAUUUAAAAAUUAACAUAUUUAAAGCGCAAAACUAUAAUUUUAUGCAUUUUUGUGGGUGUGGGGGCUGGAUUGAGGGGUGUAGCAAUUGUUUGUCAUAAAAACAAGGCCAUGGCAGAUUGUUUUGGACUUUGAGGGCAAUAUGGUCAGUCUAACAUAUUUUGAUGCAAUACGUGUAGGACGGUUCAAAGUCGAAUCGAAAUCAAUAAUUCGAAUAAAAAAUUAGUUAUUGGUUUAACGGUUUUCAUUUUUUUUAUUAUCGGAUUAUCGAUUUAUAAUAGUUUGAGACUUUUUCUUAACGAGUUAGUCAAUAGUUCGAUAGUAAAUUAAUUUAUACUAUUUGGUAUAUAAAGUUCUUGAGUUAUAGUUUAAUUUCAUACUUUUAUUUCUAGCUAUCUCGAACUCUUCGGUUAUUAUACAAUGUAUCAGUGUUUGCUUUUGCUUUUGAGCAAGAUGCAAUCUGUCAACUCACGUGCAUGGUUCAUUUGGUUUGUUGCGUUAUUUCUAAGUGAUUUUCAAUGUUUUUUUUGUGUUUCAUCUUAACGGUUAAACCAAUAAUCAAUUCGAUAACAAUUAAUAACUGAUAAGUCAAUUUCUUAAUGGUUCUAUAACGAUUUAGUAUUCCUCCAAAUCUAUAUUGAUGGAUUCGAUAAACUACAAAAUCGAAACAAACUGACCAAUACGGUGGAAUAAAAAAAUGGAGGGCUUGUAGCUACAUCUAUAACAUUUCUCUUCUUUUUUUUAACCAUUUUACCCCUUAUACAUAUGUCAAAACGACAGUGUUUUGAGACAAUUUAUCUCAAAUUUCCGAUACUAUACUAUGCCCCUUCAUCCUAUAUUGUAUCAAUUAUUUGCUUUUGAGCAAGAUGUAAUCUGUCAACUCAUGUGCAUGGUUUGUUGGUUUGUUACCUUAUUUCUAAGUGAUUUUCAAUGAUUCUUCUUGUUUCAUCUAACUGUUAAAUUGAUAAUCGAAUCGAUGACGAUUAAUAACCGAUGAACUAGCGAAUAAAUCAAUUUCUUAGUGAUUUUUAUAAAAAUAGAAAAUACCGAACUAAUAUUUUUAAUACCGUACGAUCCCCCCCCCCCCCCCCCCCCCCACANNNNNNNNNNNNNNNNNNNNNNNNNNNNNNNNNNNNNNNNNNNNNNNNNNNNNNNNNNNNNNNNNNNNNNNNNNNNNNNNNNNNNNNNNNNNNNNNNNNNNNNNNNNNNNNNNNNNNNNNNNNNNNNNNNNNNNNNNNNNNNNNNNNNNNNNNNNNNNNNNNNNNNNNNNNNNNNNNNNNNNNNNNNNNNNNNNNNNNNNNNNNNNNNNNNNNNNNNNNNNNNNNNNNNNNNNNNNNNNNNNNNNNNNNNNNNNNNNNNNNNNUCCCUACGGUCCCCCCCCCCCCACCCACACACACCCUCCAAUCCUAUAUCAUUGGCUUAAAAAACUUCAUUGGUUAUUACUCCACCACUUGCUUGAUCUCCAUCUUCCUCAUUGUUUUUCUUCCAAAAAUGGAAAAAAUUCAAAUCAUUUCAACUUGUUUAAUUGGAGCAACAUCAAAUGAUGAAUCAAUUUCAUACAAAAACACCCCUAAAGUUUCUAAAAUUGAAAUGACACCAUGGGAUUUACAACUCCUCCUUCUUGACACCAUCCAAAAAGGUCUCAUUUCCACAAACCAAAAAGAGAUGAAAAUAACAUUCACAAAUCAUCAUUAAUUGACCACUUAAAAAAAUCCCUUUGUCACACUUUACAUUUCUUUCCACCCUUAGCCGGUCGAUUUUCGAUCGUUAAAAAUUCAGACAACGAUACAAUUUCCUUUUUUAUAACAUGUAACAAUGCUGGAGUGGAAUUCAUCCACGCCAACACUCCAAAAUUAACUAUAUCUAUGAUUCUUGAUUCUACACACGUACCGAGUAUUAUUCACUCUUUGUUUCCAUUGAAUAAUACUCGAAAUUUCGAAGGUGUUACUAAGCCUUUAUUUGGGGUUCAAAUAACGGAGCUUGUUGAUGGUUAUUUUAUUGGAUGUACUAUGAAUCAUACAUUAGUUGAUGGUACUUGUUUUUGGCAUUUCUUUAAUUCUUGGGCUGAAAUUUCUCGUGGACAUAAAAUCAUUUCUAAAGUUCCAAUUUUUGAACGUUAUUUUCCGGAGAAAAUACAUGUCCCAAUUCAUCUUCCCAUGAAUUUGGAUGAUGAGAAAUUGUUCGAAAAAUUCCAAGUUCCAACGUUGAUGGAAAGGGUAUUUCAUCUUAGUAAAGAAAAUAUUGUUAGACUCAAGAAUAAGGCCAAUAAUGAAAUGGGCAUUAACUCGAUUUCUUCUUUGCAAGCUUACUUGGCUCAUCUAUGGCGAUGUGUUACUCGAUGUCGUAAGCUUGAUGCUGAGAAAGAAGUCAUCAUCACCAUUCCUAUAGGUGAGUUACACUUUUAAUUUGAAAUCAUAAUGGACGAAAACGUACUUAAACUGUCAUUUUUUUGCAUUUAGUUUUCAAUUAUUUCUUUUUAUGACCUAAACUAUCAUCAUCUAUCUAUUACUAAGAGUCUGUUUGGAUUGACUUUUAAUUUAAAAAACACUUAAAAUAAGUCAAUCCAAGAAGACUCUAAAACACACGUAAUUGAGUAGAAGGUGAUGGUUUGAGUCUUUUAGGUAGGAAAAUGGAAUAGUGGAUUGUUGGUUUAGUCAAUUAUGAGGUGUGUUUUAUUACAUGAAUAGUGAUACUUCAAGUAUAAAAAGGAAAAUAACCGACAAUUGAGGUGUGACUUGUAAGAAAGUGAUACGAUCAUAUGUGUUUUUGAGUAUUAACUAUUUUGAUUUCUUGACUCAUAUAUUGUGAAAAUGUUCAAAUAUGUCAUUGAAUUCUAGGAAAUGGCCUAGUAUAUCAUCGGGUAAUACUCUCUUCAGCUCUAUUUACUUGUCAAAUUUUGAUUUGACGCACUUAUUAAGAAAAUAAUAAUUGGUAUCGUAAAUAUCAUUGUAUCACUAUUAGUUGAUAGAAUCCCAAACAUAUUUUACUCUCUACAUUUUUUAAAGGCAUUAACUAAAUGUUUAUAGAAUUUUUUUUUAUUCUUCCUUAAUUUGACAAGUAAAUAAAAAGAGAAAGGUAGCUUUAUGAUAAAAUUGAUCCAAAUAUGUACUUAUUCAAUAAUGAUGAAAACUUUUCAGUGUACUUAUUCAUUUGCAAUAAUAUUGUGACAGUCAGGGACUCAGGGUAGGAUAUAUUUAAACUAAUAUACCCUACCUAUGUUGGAAAGCUUUUGUUGUUAGUAAAUAAAGGCAUAUUUAAACUAUUUUUUUUGUGAUAUAUCAGCUAAUAUUUUAAUUCAGCUAUUUUAAUAAAUGACAUAUUUGAGUCAGUUCUCAAAGUUUAAUGGCAUAAUUAGACCUUAUCCUUUAUGUAUAUAACACGUUCGUCACAUGUAGUCUUAACUCCUUUUUUUUUUAUUACUACAUAUCAAUAAAUUUUGAAUUCAUGACUGUUAUUCUGUUUAGAUACUGUUAUCAUUACAUUUAAAAGCUUAAAAUGACUUAAUUAUGUCUUCCAUAAAUCUCAUCAGUACUUAAUUAUGUCUUCAACAGGCGCAAGAUCAAGAGUAAAUCCUCCUCUUCUAGAAGGGUAUUUUGGAAAUGCAAUUCAUUUGAAACAAGUAAAGACAAGUGCAAGGGAGCUACUAGAAAAUGGACUAGGAUGGGGUGCAAUGCAAAUAAACAAGAUGGUUUCUUCUCAAAACUAUGAAGAAGUGGUGAAAAUAUACAAAGGAUGGGUUGAAAAUCCAGUUAUAUUAAAAAAGGGGUCAGUAUAUGAGGGGAAUAAUAGAUUGCUUAUUAGUAGUUCUCCAAGGUAUAAUAUUUAUGGUAAUGAUUUUGGUUGGGGAAAACCAAUUGGUGUGAGGAGUGGAAUAGCAAAUAAAAGUGAUGGGAAAAUUGCUUUAUUUCCUGGUGAAAAAGAAGGAAGUGUAGAUAUUGAAGUUUGCAUUUUGCAAGAGACUUUGGAAGCAUUGGAGAAUGAUCAAGAAUUCAUGGAGUUUGUAACCAAGACUUAAAACUUCCUUACUAGGAUUAACUUUUUUGUGUUGUAUUGACUUUUUAUUUACUUCUUGUUUAAAAGUAUUGUCUCCGUUUUAAUUUAUGUGAUGUGAUUUGAUUGCGUACAGAGUUUAAGAUCAUAGAUGGAAAGACUUUUGAAACUUGUAGUCUACAAUAAGUUCUGUAAAGGUUUUGCAGAAAAGUCUAUCGUAAGUCAUAUCAUCAAAAUAUUAAUGAGCUAACACA